rnacentral:rRNA from 1 species
UACGUAGGGUGCCAGCGUUGUCCGGAAUUAUUGGGCGUAAAGAGCGUGUAGGCGGCCCGAUUAGUCCGCUGUGAAAGUCCAGGGCUCAACCCUGGAAUGCCGGUGGAUACUGUCGGGCUAGAGUCCGGAAGGGGCGAGUGGAAUUCCUGGUGUAGCGGUGAAAUGCGCAGAUAUCAGGAGGAACACCAAUGGCGAAGGCAGCUCGCUGGGACGUGACUGACGCUGAGACGCGAAAGCGUGGGGAGCAAACAGG